CGAGAUCCACCUUGGAUUUGAGACUCGCGCGCUCUUCGUUCGCUUACCGGCGGGUUCGCUCCCCUUCUCGCGCCCCGGGACAGCGAGGCUGGGGAAGGGGUUGAAAGGGCUGUUGAUCGCCGCCUUUAACUUGUGCGUGGGGCGGCCAUGUCGGCCGGCGAGGUCGAGCGCCUGGUGGAGCUGAGCAGCGGGACCGGAGGGGAUGAGGAGGAAGAGUGGCUGUAUGGCGGCCCAUGGGACGUGCAUGUGCACAGUGAUUUGGCAAAGGAUCUAGAUGAAAAUGAAGUUGAAAGGCCAGAAGAAGAAAAUGCCAGUGCUAAUCCUCCAGCUGGAAUUGAAGAGGAAGCUGCUGAAAAUGGCGUGUCCAAACCGAAAGUGACUGAGACUGAAGAUGAUAGUGACAGUGACAGUGACGAUGAUGAGGAUGAUGUUCAUGUCACUAUAGGAGACAUUAAAACUGGAGCACCACAGUAUGGGAGUUAUGGAACAGCGCCAGUAAAUCUUAAUAUCAAGACAGGGGGAAGAGUGUAUGGAAAUACAGGAACCAAAGUCAAAGGGGUAGACCUUGAUGCACCUGGCAGCAUUAAUGGAGUGCCACUGUUGGAAGUAGAUUUGGAUUCUUUUGAAGAUAAACCAUGGCGGAAACCUGGUGCUGAUCUUUCUGAUUAUUUCAAUUAUGGCUUUAAUGAAGAUACUUGGAAAGCUUACUGUGAAAAACAAAAGAGGAUACGAAUGGGACUUGAAGUUAUACCAGUUACUUCAACAACAAAUAAAAUUACGGCCGAAGACUGUACUAUGGAAGUUACACCAGGUGCAGAGAUCCAAGAUGGCAGAUUCAAUCUUUUUAAGGUGCAGCAAGGGAGAACUGGAAAUUCAGAGAAAGAAGCAGCACUUCCAUCUACAAAAGCUGAGUUUACUUCUCCGCCAUCGUUGUUCAAGACGGGCCUGCCACCAAGCAGAAACAGCACCUCUUCUCAGUCUCAGACAAGUACUGCCUCCAGAAAAGCCAGUUCAAGCGUUGGGAAGUGGCAGGAUCGAUAUGGGAGGGCCGAGUCACCAGACCUAAGGAGAUUACCUGGUGCAAUUGAUGUCAUUGGUCAAACAAUAACCAUCAGCCGAGUAGAAGGAAGACGGCGGGCAAACGAAAACAGCAAUAUACAGGUCCUUUCUGACAGAUCUGCCACUGAAGUAGACAACAAUUUCAGCAAACCACCUCCAUUUUUUCCUCCAGGGGCUCCUCCUACUCACCUUCCACCGCCUCCAUUUCUUCCCCCUCCUCCAACUGUCAGCACUGCCCCACCUCUGAUCCCCCCUCCAGGUAUUCCAAUAACUGUACCACCUCCAGGUUUCCCUCCUCCACCUGGAGCUCCUCCUCCAUCUCUUAUACCAACAAUAGAAAGUGGCCAUUCUUCUGGUUAUGACAGCCGUUCUGCACGAGCAUUUCCAUAUGGCAAUGUUGCCUUCCCCCAUCUUACCAGUUCCGCUCCCUCAUGGCCUAGCCUUGUGGACACUACCAAACAGUGGGACUAUUACGCACGAAGAGAGAAAGACCGAGACAGAGACAGAGAUAGAGACAGAGACCGAGAGAGAGACAGAGACCGGGACAGAGAAAGAGAGCGGACCCGAGAGAGGGAGCGGGAGCGGGAUCACAGCCCCACCCCCAGCGUUUUCAACAGUGAUGAAGAGCGAUACAGAUACAGGGAAUAUGCGGAAAGAGGCUAUGAGCGCCAUAGAGCUAGUCGGGAAAAAGAAGAACGACACAGAGAACGACGUCACAGAGAGAAGGAAGAAACCAGACACAAGUCCUCUCGCAGUAACAGUAGACGUCGUCAUGAAAGUGAAGAAGGGGACAGUCACAGGAGACAUAAGCACAAAAAGUCUAAAAGAAGCAAAGAAGGAAAGGAGGCUGGCAGUGAGCCCGUCCCUGAACAGGAAAGCGCCGAAGCUGCCCCUGCCGAAUAGGCUCCACCUUUUAUGUCUGUCAGUCCCAGAAAUAGAUGUUAUAAAUCUCCUUAUUUUUCUGGAUAAUGUUGAAGAAAUAUACCUUUAAUCUUGUUCUGUUAGAAUGAAACGUUAACUUUUUCUUUUCCAAAAUAAAAAUGUGCAUUUUUUGUGUUAAGUUAAAAAUCUUUGUCUUGUAAUAUUUAAAGAGUAAAAGACAGAAAUGACUUUAUAUCCAAGAAAGUAAUUUGAAUGAGUCAGCAGGGGAUUUAGAGCUAAGCUUGGCUGUGUGUUCACAGUAUGAUGAAGGUCGAGGAUUCACCUUGGCCAGCUUUCUAGUAGUCAGAUACUAUCGCAGAAAAGGUGCUGCAAGGACUCCUCUUGCAAUCAGGCCACUCUUCAUCUUAUUACUCCUGCAUGUUCAAGAACUUGGGCACUUCCUUGAUAUCACUGCCUUUGAUUGCAGGUUUUCGGUGUUCUAAUGUUGGGUCCGUGGUAACUAAAUAAGGCCAUUUUUAUACCUAAAUUCAUACAAGGUAGGAGGCCUUUGGGUGGCCCUGUCAUGUAGCUGUGUACUUUUCAGCAGGCACAUGUAUGUAUAGACACAGUUGUGACUAGCACAGCACUGGACCACUCCAUGGCCGUUUGUUUGAGCCAGAGUCAAGGCAGUUUGGCAGCUGUUCACAGUUUUCCAAGACUCAUUGGUAGAGUAGAAUGUGGGUUGUUUUUUAUACCAUUGCCAUAUUAAGGAUAAAAAUAAGCUCAAUGACAGUAGUAUUAGGUCAGUUAUUACUUAGUAAAGCCAAAAAUCCAAGCUUAAAAUAUGGACAUAGCCCAGGAGGGACUAUAGAGCAGCAGCGGUAGUGGCUUGGAACUUGGUGUGUGAAAAAAAUGACUUAGAGCCACAGGUAAGAGGACGGCUGUCAUUUAGAAAAGAUUUAUUUCCCAUUUUAACUCUCAAACCAUUAAAUUUAAAUGCCCGUAAUGUGCUUUUUUUUUUGAACUCUACAUAUACCAUAUUUUUAAUUGAUUUGAAUUGUGUCAUACAAACCAUUUUAGAUUUUUAUGGACUUUUUAUUGAAUAGAAAAAUAUAAACUUAAAGGUUUGGAGUGAUGAGAAAUCUUCCACACUAAAUAAAAACUGGUAAGUUUUUAUUUUUGAAAACAUUCUCUGAGGUGUUAACUUGUUUUCACAAUAUCAUACUUUUUCUGGUAUUUUUUUUACAAUAUAUUCUUUAAAUAUAAAAAUUGACAAGAUAAAUACAGUUUUACCUAGCCUAUGAUCUUUUUUCUGUUUUCUAAGAUCCAUCAUUGGUUUUAUAAAAAUGUACCAGGCCAGGAAGCAAUAGUGAGAGUAAUUCUCCCUUUAAGUUCUUUGAGCAUCUUUGCCAAGCAGGCAUGUAUCAUGCCCGACGUACUCCUCCCGUUGACAGCGAGAAGAAUGUCACCACAUCUAAGAAAAAACACAGGAUUGGGAUCACAAUUACUUUAUGGUUGAAGCUACUCAUAGUGGACUUGGGUUGUUCUAGUGUUUGCCAUAUUUGUCCAUUUUAAUUCUAGUUAGAUUUUUUUCCCCCUCUUCACUUAAAUUCUACAAGCUCCAUUCAGCUUGCGAAGAUACAGGAAAUUGUAAUAUGGGACCAAGGCCAGUAGUUGUUGAUUUGUUUUUUUGUUUUUUUGUUUUUUUGUUUUUUUUUUUGGAUACAGGGUUUCUCUGUGUAAUAGCCCAGGCUGUCCUGGAACUUGUUUUGUAGACCAGGCUGGCCUCAAAUUCAGAGAGAUCUGCUUCCUGAAUGCUGGGAUUAAAGGUGUGCGCCGCCACCACUCAGCUUAAUUUUGAACUUCUUAAACCUAACUGAUAGACUCACGUUUUAAUUUCUUACUCUUCAAGAAUGUAUAGUAAAUAUAUGCUUUCUUUCAAGUGGGGCCAAGUUUUUACAUGUAGAAAACAAAAUACUUGAAUAUUAUUUUACCUAAUUCUUCCAUCAUUGUAUGCUGGUGUUCCUUCGACAAUGGAUUUGAUAAAAAAAGGUUUGUUCCCAGUGUAUUCUUCAUAACCUCCUACAAUGCAGAAGCCCAGACUUCCUGCAGUAUUCCUCCGUAGUGUCACAUCUUUACAGUUGUAUAAGUACCUGAAAUAGAAUAUAAUUAGUGUAUGUACAGUUGAGUUUACUAGUUGUGACUUCAUCUCUCAUUCAUUUUUUGGACAGUUUAAAAAAGUGAAAUAGUAAAUGAAUAUGUCUCCCUCAGAAAUGACAGUAACUUUUCAUCCUCUUAGCAGUUUUUGUGUUUGAUCUCUUUUUUCAUAGCUGAAUACACUACUCUUUCAACAAAAGGACUUCGUUAUUGUGUUCUGUUUGUCUCUGCUGAGAAAGAUGGCUAUGCUUUGGCUAAGGGCAAAGUAAUACAUGGACUUAUAUGGAUCAAGCAUUGGAUAUGCCUUGAUACUUCUAAUGAUAAGCCACAGUGGAGCAUACUGAGGGAAUAUAAUUUUUAUUUACUUGUGGGUUUACAUAAUUCUUAAAGAAGGCAAACUUUCUUUGAAUUAAUGAUUCACAAUGAAAUAAUCGCAAUGAAAAUAAUUUUAACUUAAGCUAAUGAACUUUGUUAAUUUCUAUUGACUUUUGGAAAUACUGGUUUAUACUCACAUGGGUGAAUGGGAAGUGAGUCAAGAAGAAUAGAAGAGUUGCAGGAAUAAGAUCAACAUGGCAUAAACUGAAGUGGAAAGUUCAAAAGGAACUGGAGAGGGAGACCACAGCUGGCAUAAGAAUGAGUAGAAUCCUCAGUAGGGUAGUUGUGGCUGUUAGAGCCAAGUGCAAACCGCUGUGGUGCAGUAGAGAAGGGUGUCGGGAGCUGGAUUUGGCUCUGGGAUCCCUUGUCUACCAUAUGUGUGUCUAUGGUCUAGGAACUGCUUUGACUAGAAGAUAGCAUUUUUAUGUUGGUAGAAAUGAAGAUGUUUUGUUUAUAGACUGUACCUUAAAAUAAUCAAUUGCUUUUUGAUAAUCAAUAAAAAUGAUCUUGUGAAAUGUUAA